CUGGGAACGUGCUUCUCCAGAGAGGCCGACCUGUCUCUGGGUUGGCAGGAGGCUGCCUGAUGCCCCAGCUGGGCUCCUUCCCCGACUGCUCUCUGCUUCUCAUCUGGCAUCCUGCUGGGAACUGAUCCCUUAUAGUUCAAAAGCGUGUCUGCACAAGAAGCACACAGAGAAGAGCCGGGAGAGGGACUGCCCAUGAGGCAGAUUAAUUGAAUAAUCGAGAAGCCGAUAGUCAAUAAAGGUGAAUGCAACCUUAUGCAUCUGAGACUGACUAUUUAUAAAGCGGGGGUGAUUAAAACAUGUCUUUGAGGGUGAGAUGUACAUAGUCCGGUUCAGCUAAGUGCUGUUUAACCUGUCCCCUGGCCUUUUAAUUCCAAAGUAAUUAUUUUGGGGUUUUGAUUUUAUUCAAACUGCAUGCAAUUUUCCUAUCUCUCCAUUCAUUCUUUCUGGCCUCUAAUCCCUCCUUUAUCUUGUUAAUCAUUUUUAUCUCUUUCUUUCGUUUGCUCCCUCAGAUUGCUCUGUUUGUGCAGGUUGCAGAGGACUGAUUCUCUCUGCUCUUGGGUCCGGUGACUGUCCCUUGUGGUGGACCACUUUCUUGCCCUCUCCUGGAUUCCAUCCUCUGUACCUUUUCCCUUUGCUGACUUGAAUCUGUAUCCUUCUGUUGUUAUAAACUGUAAUAAAC
rnacentral:lncRNA from 1 species